rnacentral:rRNA from 1 species
AAUAUUUUACAAUGGUGCCAACCCUGAUCCAGCUAUGCAUCGUGUGUUAAGAAGGUCUACGCAUUAUAAAGCACUUUAAGUUGGGAGGUAGGGCUUGAGGUUAAUACCCUGAAGUUUUGUCGUUACCAACAGAAUAAGCACCGGCUAUCUCUGUGCCAGCAGCUGUGGUAAUACCGAGGGUACAAGAGUUAAUCGGAAUUACGUGGCGUAAAACGCGCGUAAGUGGUUCAAUAAGAUGGGUGUGGAAUCCCCGGGCUUAACCUGGGAACUGCUUUCAUAAAUGCUGAGUUAGAGUACGGUAAAGCGUAGUUGGAUUUCCUGUGUAACGGUGAAAUGCGUAAAUAUUGGAUGGAUCACCAGUGGCGAAGGCGAAUACCUGGACUAAUACUGACACUGAGGUGCGAAAGCGUGGGGAACAAACA